rnacentral:tRNA from 1 species
UGGGAGAUCGUUCAAUGGUAGGACGACAGGUUCUGACCCUGUUAAUCUAGGUUCGAUCCCUAGUCUCCCAGCCA